GUGUGUAUGACUGAGAAGAGGGUUAGCACUUCUCUUGACAAGAAUCAAAGAGGCCCUGGGCCCUGUUCAACACACAUACAUUUAAAGGAUUGCCUCCUACUUCAUGACAUCAUCCAUGACAUUAUUA